ACUGCCAUUUGAUUGAAUGGUCAUCAUGGAGCUCUUGCCAGCUGACCUGUCUGGAGGGGCGGAGCUUUGAGGCCACAGGUCGCCAAGCCCGUUCCAGAGCUGUGAUCAUUCAGGUCAUGGAGAACCAAGCAAGCUGCCCACAUCAAGUGUUUGAGACCCAACACUGCAAAGGAGGGAAAUGCCACAGUUACCAAUGGAGGACGGGGGCAUGGAGCAACAACGAAAGAGCAGUGUGGUGUCAACGCGCAGACGGUGUCAACGUGACAGGGGGGUGUUUCCCACAGAACAGGCCAACC